CCUGGCUCAGGACGAACGCUGGCGGCGCGCCUAACACAUGCAAGUCGAACGAGAGAGAGGGAGCUUGCUUCCUCAAUCGAGUGGCGAACGGGUGAGUAACGCGUGAGGAACCUGCCUCAAAGAGGGGGACAACAGUUGGAAACGACUGCUAAUACCGCAUAAGCCCACAGGUCGGCAUCGACCAGAGGGAAAAGGAGCAAUCCGCUUUGAGAUGGCCUCGCGUCCGAUUAGCUAGUUGGUGAGGUAAUGGCCCACCAAGGCAACGAUCGGUAGCCGGACUGAGAGGUUGAACGGCCACAUUGGGACUGAGACACGGCCCAGACUCCUACGGGAGGCAGCAGUGGGGAAUAUUGCACAAUGGGGGAAACCCUGAUGCAGCGACGCCGCGUGGAGGAAGAAGGUCUUCGGAUUGUAAACUCCUGUUGUUGAGGAAGAUAAUGACGGUACUCAACAAGGAAGUGACGGCUAACUACGUGCCAGCAGCCGCGGUAAAACGUAGGUCACAAGCGUUGUCCGGAAUUACUGGGUGUAAGGGAGCGCAGGCGGGAAGACAAGUUGGAAAUGAAAUCUAUGGGCUCAACCCAUAAACUGCUUUCAAAACUGUUUUUCUUGAGUAGUGCAGAGGUAGGCGGAAUUCCCGGUGUAGCGGUGGAAUGCGUAGAUAUCGGGAGGAACACCAGUGGCGAAGGCGGCCUACUGGGCACCAACUGACGCUGAGGCUCGAAAGUGUGGGUAGCAAACAGGAUUAGAUACCCUGGUAGUCCACACCGUAAACGAUGAUUACUAGGUGUUGGAGGAUUGACCCCUUCAGUGCCGCAGUUAACACAAUAAGUAAUCCACCUGGGGAGUACGACCGCAAGGUUGAAACUCAAAGGAAUUGACGGGGGCCCGCACAAGCAGUGGAGUAUGUGGUUUAAUUCGACGCAACGCGAAGAACCUUACCAAGUCUUGACAUCCCUUGACGAACAUAGAAAUAUGUUUUCUCUUCGGAGCAAGGAGACAGGUGGUGCAUGGUUGUCGUCAGCUCGUGUCGUGAGAUGUUGGGUUAAGUCCCGCAACGAGCGCAACCCUUAUGGUCAGUUACUACGCAAGAGGACUCUGGCCAGACUGCCGUUGACAAAACGGAGGAAGGUGGGGAUGACGUCAAAUCAUCAUGCCCUUUAUGACUUGGGCUACACACGUACUACAAUGGCGUUAAACAAAGAGAAGCAAGACCGCGAGGUGGAGCAAAACUCAGAAACAACGUCCCAGUUCGGACUGCAGGCUGCAACUCGCCUGCACGAAGUCGGAAUUGCUAGUAAUCGUGGAUCAGCAUGCCACGGUGAAUACGUUCCCGGGCCUUGUACACAC
rnacentral:rRNA from 1 species